rnacentral:misc_RNA from 3 species
AACGCACCUUGCGCUCCUUGGUAUUCCGAGGAGCAUGCCUGUUUGAGUGUCAUGAAAUUCUCAACCUUAUCAGCUUUUAUUGGCUGAUUAGGCUUGGAUGUGGGAGUUUUGCGGGCUUUUAAGAAGUCGGCUCUCCUUAAAUUCAUUAGCGGGACCUUUUGGUUGCCUCAGCUACUGGUGUGAUAAUUAUCUACGCUUAUUGCUGAAAGUGACUUGGUACAGCUUCUAAUCGUCUUCAUUUAUUUGAGACAAUUUAUAAUGACAAUUUGACCUCAAAUCAGGUAGGACUACCCGCUGAACUUAA